GAUGAACGCUGGCGGCGUGCCUAAUACAUGCAAGUCGAGCGAACAGACGAGGAGCUUGCUCCUCUGACGUUAGCGGCGGACGGGUGAGUAACACGUGGAUAACCUACCUAUAAGACUGGGAUAACUUCGGGAAACCGGAGCUAAUACCGGAUAAUAUAUUGAACCGCAUGGUUCAAUAGUGAAAGACGGUUUUGCUGUCACUUAUAGAUGGAUCCGCGCCGCAUUAGCUAGUUGGUAAGGUAACGGCUUACCAAGGCGACGAUGCGCAGCCGACCUGAGAGGGUGAUCGGCCACACUGGAACUGAGACACGGUCCAGACUCCUACGGGAGGCAGCAGUAGGGAAUCUUCCGCAAAGGGCGAAAGCCUGACGGAGCAACGCCGCGUGAGUGAUGAAGGUCUUCGGAUCGUAAAACUCUGUUAUUAGGGAAGAACAAAUGUGUAAGUAACUAUGCACGUCUUGACGGUACCUAAUCAGAAAGCCACGGCUAACUACGUG
rnacentral:rRNA from 1 species